rnacentral:misc_RNA from 1 species
UUCCAUCAAAUUUAUAUCAGCGACAACAAGAUUUUUACUGAAAACUAUUCCCCGUUUCGAUCGGGGGUUCUUCCAGAAAGCAAGUGAAGCACUAGAAGCCCAUGAUGGAGACUUCAUCCACUUCUGCAGGUACACACUUCCAUCUAUGUCAAACACAUAACUACUACUUUCUGUUGUAUCAUUUGUGGAUCCAGGUGAUCCCCCUGAUUGAUAAUCUUG